GGUUCCCUUCCAAGCACUUCAGAAUCAAUUGUCUACCGAUUCGAAAUUCUUACUGAAGUGUUUGGGGGAACCCCCGGUCUCCCUUCGUAACGUUUUUAAGGAGCUUUCAAGCGUUCAGUUGGGUUAUAAAGUGAGGAGUUAGUAGAUUGGUGUUUGAGGCGUUCAAGAUUAAGAAGAUUCACAAGAUGGGAAUUGAGGUGGAGGAGCACUGGAAAGAUAUGCUGUCAUUGAGAGGUCUCAAUCAGGUUGUGCCAGGAUCAAAUAAAGAACUCAGCUGAGAUGAACAUUUA